CUUGAAUACGCCCACACAGAAGAAAAAGCAGCCAGACUGUUCUUCAAGUUUUUAUUUUAUUUUACUGUUUGCUUCACGAUGAGAGGAAUAAGACAUAAAUCACGAAAGGUUCAGUAGACUUUUUGCUUUAAAUUAAUGGUUGUUGUCAUGGUGUAAAGAACAGAAACUGCUAUUUGUUAAUAACUGGAAUCUUUUCUGGGAGCGUCCUAGACUGUUUCGCGCUGAUGGAUUACACCCCAGCAGAGUCGGAGCGGAGCUGCUCUCUGCACUGUAAAAAAUUAUUUAGCAGUCUAGUUGUUUCAAUGAAUUUUUUUUUGUUGACACAACUUGCAGUUACUGAAUUUGUUCAUUCAACUAAAAAAUUUUAGUUUUCAGUGUCUCAACUAGUUUGAAAGUUGACUGAACUAGGUUAUUUGUCCUCAUAACUUAAAAAAAUGUGUUGAAUCAACUCAAUAGCAAUAUCACGUUCACAACAUCACUUAUCGCGAGAUCUCCUCAUUCUGGUGAAGGCUGUUGAAGAGAGAAGAAAGUUGUCAGCCAUACUAGUCAGUUUCUCCUCAAAGUUUGGACAUUUUACUAGAAUACAACUUUGGUAAGUAAAAUAUUCGUAUUUAUUGGCUUAAUGUGUAAAAUUACAUUUGUUGUCUCAGAAGAGUAAGUAUGGUUUAAAGAAUCUUAUAUUCUGAAUGUAAGUUACUGUAUGUAAAUGUUAGUUUCGCGGCACUCUGAAGCCUCAAAAUACAGGCGGUUCCACAGUAUUUUCCUUAUAAAUAUUAAAACAGAUAUUCUCCCAUGCGGGACAGCGGAGCUGAACUUAUGUGGGGAACGAUAAAAAUACAGUUUGUAUGUAUCACUUGAGCUCAGAGCUGUGUUAGAGACCGUUCAAAAAGAGCGCGAGAGCUCAUCGGAUCACUGUAUGGAUUAAGAACGGCGGGAAUAAAAAAAAAAGGAACUGCUCUAAACCUGACAGCGUAAGACAUCCGUCAGAAUAUACAUCGAUGAAAAAUUAGGGGGAAAAAAGAAGAUUUCUACUGUGUCUUUUCUGCAUGUUAUAAGGGAAACGAAUGAGCAGCAUAGAUGAGCACCUCCCUCAGAGUUCUUCUGGAGCGCGUAACUUAACGUUACAUUUGAUAUCGCUGACAUAAGCUUAGUUCUGAUGAUUUUUUUACAGUCUACGGUUCAGAUGAAGUUAUGGUAGCGUUACAAACUCUUCUUUCAGUUUUCUGAAGUAACGUUAGUCAUUCAAGUGCCUCACUAGAACCCAGUGUAAUGCUGCGUGAAUAUCUGUUUUUAUACAGUCUAUGGUGAAUAUAGGUCAUAAGUAAAUUUUAUACGUUCAAAUCUAUAUAUUUUAGAAUAAAAGUAAUAAUAGCAUAUAUCUUGUAUAAACAGAGAUACAAUAACGAUCGACACAAAUGUGUUAAAUUUCCUUUUAUUGUGUUAUAAUUCUGUGUUGUGUCAUUUAAAAGCAUCGCCUGGAUGGUAUAGUUUGUCAUUGGCAUUUAAAACAAACUUGUCAAUACAUUUGACUUUCUCUGUAAAGAUUUAUUUAUAUAUGUAUGUUUAUUAUUUUACAGUGUUUUAACAUGUUUUUGUAUUUUUCAUGUUUAUGAUAUUUUGGAAUGACUGAAGAUUCAGCGCAGAAUUCAGUAAUCCUGUGGAUGGACCACAGCGAGUCCUUUUGCAGUUAUCCAUCAAAAUGCUAUGCAGACAUAAUGCAAAUGGCAUUUACAUGGUAGAGCUUGGACAAAGUUCACACAGGCUCUGCGCAGGAAUUCAUCAAGGACAUGACUGCUGGGAUUACGCUUGUGGAUGACCAAACUGAGCACCAUCAGUCUGCAGUGAUGUGAUCCAGCCAUCCAGUGACAUUAAGGAUGUUGAGAAAGAAAUUGAAGAGGGCAUUCUGAUUGUAACUGAGGAACAGCAAUGUGAUGUGCUCUGGGUGUGUGUUCACGGUGUGUGUUCACUGCUGUGUGUGUGCACUUUGGAUGGGUUAAAUGAAGAGCACAAAUGUAUGUCAUGUCACUUUCACUUUUCAGUGUUCAUGAUGUGUCCAUCGGCUCCACAGCACUCUUUCUUAAAAAGUAGUGUUUUUUUGUUUUCUUUUUUAAGGAAAUGUAGGUUCUUUUGUGCCUUUCACUACAUUAUAGAAUGUACAUUAAAGUUCCAAUGACUUGGAAUAUGCAUGUUCUCAUGUAAACAAAUGUUGUUUCACCUCUCAUUUUCUUAAACAGUAUGUACACAUUUUCAGUAUGUAGCAUUAUGAUGGUGGAGAGUUUGGAAACUUUCAAGAUCCUUCUGAUGUUAACACUUCUGUCUGGUCAUGUUGUGCUAUGAAAUUUAGAAUCUGACUGUUUAGGUCUUUGUGCUUCCAUGUGCAUUCAUUCCAUUUAUAUCUUAUUAUACAGAAGUACAGUACACUCAUUUUUUGUAACUAAUUGUGAUGUUAUAUACAUAUAUCUUAGUUUCUCAUUUUGACCAUGACUUGCAUUAUGGUGGGGGGGGGGGGGGAGUGCAUGUGAACUUGUGCAGGGUUGAUAUGCAGAGUUCAACCUUCUGAUUUUCAUAUUGAGUUAUGAAAUUAAAAACAAUCCCUGUGGUUUUGAUCUGAUGAAUUGAAAUGCAACUAUUUGUUUCUCAAUCCCAUGCCAAUGCUAUUUAUUAUACAUCACACUUUCAAGUGUCGGUUCAGAUCUUUAGACGUAUGUUUUUAUUUUGCAUUUUUUAGUUUUGUUUAUCAAUUAUCAGUUGAUGUGUUGACGGCAAAUUGCUUGUUCAAUUUAAAUGUGAAUGAAAGUGUUGUCUCUAUCAUUAAAUAAAUUACAUUAAAAAAGUGUUUUGUCAUUUUUAUUUAAACAUUUAAGGCAGUGGGGUAACAUUUGUUUAUGAUUAUUGAUCGAAGUAAAAAAAAAAAAAAAAUCCCUGUUGACACAACAUGAUUUAGUUGACUGGACUAGAAAAUAAUAGUCAAGUCAACUUAAAGAAAUGUGUUACUUGGACUAACUCCACUCUAAUUUGAAGUUGUUUCAACAAGACAUUUUUUGUCAAGAUAACAAAAAAAUUUUAGGCAGCGGGGUAACAAAUUUUUUUAAGUUGACUCAACAAAUUCUUUUUUACAGUGUGACAACAUCUCCAGGACACUUCGCUCCAUGUGACUAGUAAGACAAUUCUCAAAUAACCAUUAUGAUGAGUUUUGUUCCACCCGCUUAAAUGCUAAAAGUACUUGCGCUGUAAAAACUAUUAAGACUGUGUCUGUUCCCCGAAUAGUGAGGUCAAAAUAUAAAUAUAAUGUAGGAUCUAGAAAAAAUCUUAUCGUAAUUAAACCAGAAAAAUGUAAAGUAAAUGAACAAAAAUAAUUUUUAAAGUUUGGGCUCAUAAAUAUUAGAUCACUCACACCAAAAGCAGUUAUUGUAAAUUAAAUGAUCACAGAUAAUAGUUUUGAUUUACUCCGCUUGACUGAAACCUGGCUAAAACCAAAUUAUUAUUUUGGUCUAAAUGAGUCUACUCCACCAAACUACUGUUAUAAGCAUGAGCCCCGUCAGACUGGUUGUGGCGGGGGUGUUGCAACAAUAUAUAGUGAUAUUCUCAAUGUUACCCAGAAAACAGGAUACAGGUUUAACUCUUUUGAAAUAUUUCUGCUAAAUGUUACUCUGUCAGACAUGCAAAAGAAAUCUAAUGUAUCUCUUGCUCUGGUUACUGUGUAUAGACCACCAGGGCCGUAUACAGAAUACCUAAAAGAAUUUGCAGAUUUCCUCUCAGACCUUCUAGUUACAGUUGAUAAGGCGCUAA